rnacentral:rRNA from 1 species
GAUGAACGCUGGCGGCGUGCCUAAUACAUGCAAGUCGAGCGAACAGACGAGGAGCUUGCUCCUCUGACGUUAGCGGCGGACGGGUGAGUAACACGUGGAUAACCUACCUAUAAGACUGGGAUAACUUCGGGAAACCGGAGCUAAUACCGGAUAAUAUAUUGAACCGCAUGGUUCAAUAGUGAAAGACGGUUUUGCUGUCACUUAUAGAUGGAUCCGCGCCGCAUUAGCUAGUUGGUAAGGUAACGGCUUACCAAGGCAACGAUGCGUAGCCGACCUGAGAGGGUGAUCGGCCGCACUGGAACUGAGACACGGUCAAGACUCCUACGGGAGGCAGCAGUAGGGAAUCUUCCGCAAUAGGCGAAAGCCUGACGGAGCAACGCCGCGUGAGUGAUGAAGGUCUUCGGAUCGUAAAACUCUGUUAUUAGGGAAGAACAAAUGUGUAAGUAACUAUGCACGUCUUGACGGUACCUGAUCAGAAAGCCACGGCUAACUACGUG